GCUGGCGGCGCGCCUAACACAUGCAAGUCGAGCGGUGAACCCCGUCUUAUGAUGGGGGGAUCAGCGGCGAACGGGUGCGUAACACGUGGGUAACCUGCCCCGAAGUGGGGGACAACCAUCCGAAAGGGUGGCUAAUACCGCAUGUGCUCGGCAGGCUUCGGUUUGCCGAGUAAAGACCACUACUUCGGUAGUGGUCGCUUCGGGAGGGGCCCGCGGCCUAUCAGGUAGUUGGUGAGGUAACGGCUCACCAAGCCGAUGACGGGUAGGGGGCGUGAGAGCGUGGCCCCCCACACGGGAACUGAGACACGGUCCCGACGCCUACGGGCGGCAGCAGUGAGGAAUCUUGCGCAAUGGGCGAAAGCCUGACGCAGCGACGCCGCGUGGGGGAUGAAGGCCGUGAGGUUGUAAACCCCUUUUCUGGGGGACGAGGAAGGACGGUACCCCAGGAAUAAGUCCCGGCUAACUACGUGCCAGCAGCCGCGGUAAUACGUAGGGGGCUAGCGUUAUCCGGACUUACUGGGCGUAAAGCGCGCGCAGGCGGCUGCGUAAGUCGAGCGUGAAAGCUCCCGGCUCAACUGGGAGAGGUCGUUCGAUACUGCGUGGCUUGAGGUCGGGAGAGGAGAGUGGAAUUCCCGGUGUAGCGGUGAAAUGCGCAGAUAUCGGGAGGAACACCAGUGGCGAAGGCGGCUCUCUGGCCCGUACCUGACGCUCAGGCGCGAAAGCGUGGGGAGCGAAGGGGAUUAGAUACCCCCGUAGUCCACGCCCUAAACGAUGGGUGCUAGGUGUGGGUGGUUAAAAAGCCAUCCGUGCCGUAGCUAACGCGUUAAGCACCCCGCCUGGGGAGUACGGCCGCAAGGCUAAAACUCAAAGGAAUUGACGGGGGCCCGCACAAGCGGCGGAGCGUGUGGUUUAAUUCGAUGCAACGCGAAGAACCUUACCUGGGCUUGACAUGCCGGUAGUAGCGACCCGAAAGGGGAGCGAGCCCUUCGGGGCAGCCGGCACAGGUGCUGCAUGGCUGUCGUCAGCUCGUGCCGUGAGGUGUUGGGUUAAGUCCCGCAACGAGCGCAACCCUCGCCCCUAGUUACAUGUGUCUAGGG
rnacentral:rRNA from 1 species